rnacentral:tRNA from 1 species
GCGCGAGUGGCGAAAUUGGCAUACGCGCCAGAUUUAGGUUCUGGUGUCCUAGGACGUGCGGGUUCAAGUCCCGCCUCGCGCACCA